rnacentral:rRNA from 1 species
UACGUAGGGACCGAGCGUUGUCCGGAAUCAUUGGGCGUAAAGAGCGUGUAGGCGGCCCCUUAAGUCCUGCGUGAAAUCCUGCGGCUCAACCGCAGACGGUCGUGGGAAACUGGAGGCUAGAGUGCGGGAGAGGAGAGUGGAAUUCCCGGUGUAGCGGUGAAAUGCGCAGAUAUCGGGAAGAACACCCGUGGCGAAGGCGGCUCUCUGGAACGCAACUGACGCUGAGACGCGAAAGCGUGGGAGCAACAGGGAU